rnacentral:rRNA from 1 species
UACGAAGGGGGCUAGCGUUGUUCGGAAUUACUGGGCGUAAAGCGCAUGUAGGCGGCUAUUCAAGUCGGGGGUGAAAUCCUGAGGCUCAACCUCAGAACUGCCUUCGAUACUGUGUGGCUAGAGUAUGGAAGAGGUAGGUGGAACUGCGAGUGUAGAGGUGAAAUUCGUAGAUAUUCGCAAGAACACCAGUGGCGAAGGCGGCCUACUGGUCCAUCACUGACGCUGAGAUGCGAAAGCGUGGGGGGCAAACAGG